rnacentral:rRNA from 1 species
UAAGAGGUCCUGCCUGCCCAGUGACUAUAUGUUUAACGGCCGCGGUACUUUGACCGUGCGAAGGUAGCGCAAUCACUUGUCUUUUAAAUGAAGACCUGUAUGAAUGGCACGACGAGGGCUUAACUGUCUCCUUUUUCCAGUCAAUGAAAUUGAUCUUCCCGUGCAGAAGCGGGAAUAAUAUCAUAAGACGAGAAGACCCUGUGGAGCUUUAGACACUAAAUCAGCCCUUGUCCAAAAUCCCAAUUAAAGGAAUGAACACUAGAGUGUAGACCUGAUCUAAUGUCUUCGGUUGGGGCGACCUUGGGGAAAGAAAAAUCCCCCAUGCGGAACGGAAAUACUAUGUCUCCAAAACUAAGAGAGACCACUCAAAGUAUCAAAAAUUUUGACCCACUAUAUGAUCCGGCUUAACGCCGAUCAACGGACCGAGUUACCCCAGGGAUAACAGCGCAAUCCUCUUUUAGAGCCCAUAUCGACAAGAGGGUUUACGACCUCGAUGUUGGAUCAGGACAUCCUAAUGGUGCAGCCGCUAUUAAGGGUUCGUUUGUUCAACGAUUAAAGUCC